AUCACCUAGGGAUCUUGUUAAGAGGCAGAUCUGAUUCAAGAGGUCCAGGGUGGGGCCUGAGAUUCUGCAUUUCCAACAAGCUCCCAGGCGAUGCUGG
rnacentral:pre_miRNA from 1 species